rnacentral:tRNA from 1 species
UCCCUGGUAGCUCAGUUGGUAGAGCAGAUGGCUGUUAACCAUCGGGUCGCUGGUUCGAGUCCGGCCCAGGGAGCCA